rnacentral:rRNA from 1 species
AACGAACGCUGGCGGCAUGCCUAAUACAUGCAAGUCGAACGAAGGCUUCGGCCUUAGUGGCGCACGGGUGCGUAACGCGUGGGAAUCUACCCUUGGGUUCGGAAUAACAGUUAGAAAUGACUGCUAAUACCGGAUGAUGACGUAAGUCCAAAGAUUUAUCGCCCAAGGAUGAGCCCGCGUAAGAUUAGCUAGUUGGUGAGGUAAAGGCUCACCAAGGCUACGAUCUUUAGUUGGUCUGAGAGGAUGAUCAGCCACACUGGGACUGAGACACGGCCCAGACUCCUACGGGAGGCAGCAGUAGGGAAUAUUGGACAAUGGGCGAAAGCCUGAUCCAGCAAUGCCGCGUGAGUGAUGAAGGCCUUAGGGUUGUAAAGCUCUUUUACCCGAGAUGAUAAUGACAGUAUCGGGAGAAUAAGCUCCGGCUAACUCCGUG